rnacentral:sRNA from 1 species
AAACAAUCUAGUUACACCCUUUAAUUUAUUUAAAAAUGUACAAUUAAAUUAUUAUUGACUAUAGUCAUUCUGUUGUGCUAUCUAAUAGUAGGUCUUAUUCAUCCUUUUCUUUUUGUACCAAUUAACCAUCCCCCACCUCUCCCCCAUGUACACACCCCCACCGCCAAUCUUCUUUUUUUUCUAGUCCAAGGAACACCACCCCUUACUUGCCGACUUCCGAAGGUCACCGGGAGCGGGUUCUCAGCCUCUCUCAAGCCCUGGCUACUGAGGCGUCGCAGUGGCACAGAAUGAUGACAGGUGGAAAUUUGGACUCCCAGGGAGACUCUCUUCCGGGUGUGCCGCUGCCUCCUUCGGACCCCACGCUCCAGGAGACCCCUCCCCCGAGAUCUCCCCCGGUGGCUAAUUCGGGUUCCACGGGGUUCUCUCGCCGAGGGAGUGGGCGUGGAGGAGGUCCCGCCCCCUGGGGGCCCGCGUGGGAUGCCGGGAUCGCCCCUCCGGUCCUGCCACAAGAUGAGGGGGCGUGGCCUCUGCGAGUCACUCUGCUACAGUCCAGCUUCUAACCCGCCCAAACGCGGCAACCAAUCGGAGCGCGAGGACGGGGUCUGGAGGUACCGCCGGAGAUCUGGGACCACUCAGGGCAUCAGGGGGCGUGGUCUGGUCCCCAUU